UACUUUGUCCCUUCCUAUAAUAGCAGGUAUGUUCACAUUUAACAACUUUGUUGAGUGGGAGGUUUUUUUCUCCUAACAUAAAUGAGAUCAAUUAUUACUCUGUUAUGCUCAAUCAUGUCCAAGUGGUAUUAUAUAAUUCUUUCAAAUAAACCCGCAAUUUCUCUUUAUGAUAUUAACACUGAUUCCGAACUUUUAUACC